GAGCCCACUUCAGCAGCACAUAUAAGAAGAGUGGAAUGGUGCUGAGAAGGUUAGCAUAGCCCCUGUACAAGGAUAAAAUGAAAAUUUGUGAAGUUCCAUCUAUUGUG
ensembl:snRNA U6 U6 spliceosomal RNA